GGGCCCAUGGUCUAGUUGGUCAUGACGUCGCCUCGACACGGCGGAGGUCCUGAGUUCGAAUCUCAGUGGGCCCA
rnacentral:tRNA from 1 species